rnacentral:lncRNA from 1 species
ACACGGACCCCACGAGCGCGGCGGCGGCGACAGCAGCGGGCCAGGCAAGAGCACAACAUGGCGGCGGGCAGGACGGACCGAGCUACAGCAGCGGCCGCGCGAGGAAGUGAGGAGAUGGAGUUUUGCUCUUGUUGCCGGGGCUGCAGUGCAAUGGUGCAAUCUCGGUUCACUGCGACCUCCGCCUCUCGGGUUCAAGCGAUUCUCCUUUCUCAGCCUACCGAGUAGCUGGGAUUACAGGCGCGUGCCACCAGGCCCGGCUAAUUUUUGUGUUUUUAGUAGAGACGGGGUUUCAUUAUGUUGAUCAGGCUGGUCUGGAACUCCUGACCUCAGGUGAUCCACCUGCCUUGGCCUCCCAAAGUGCUGGGAUUACAGACGUGAGCCACCGCCCCUGGCCUAAAUUUAACCAUCUUUAAGUAUACAUUUCAGUGACAUUAAGCCUGUUCACGUUGUGCAUCCAUCAGCAGAAUUUGUCAUUAUCCCAUACUGAAAUUCUGUAUACGUUAAACGCUUACGCCCUAUUCUCUUUUCCCCAGCCUCUGGUAACCACCAUUCUACUUUCACCUUUUGGCCACUGUGAAUGAUGCUUCUGUGGACAUUAGUAUACAAAUAUCUGUUGGAGUCCCUGCUUUCAAUUAUUGGGGGUAUAUACCCAGAAGUGAAAUUGCUGGAUUAUAUGGCAAUUCUUAUGUUUAAUUUUUUUUUUUUUUUGAGGAGCCACCAUACUGUUUUCCAUAGCAUCAUACCAUUUUACAUUCCCAAUGGUAGAAGGUUUUACAGAAGAUAGUGACAUGAUCAAAACUAUGAUUAAAAGCAAUCUGGAAAAGAGAGUAAGAUGGAGUAGAGUGGCAGAAUGACCAUGUGGAGACUUCCACAAUGGUUUAGGCAAGAUAUAAUGAGGGCGAGGGCCUGAACACAUCAUCAGCAAUGAGAAUGGAGGAAAGAGGAUACAAAUGCUGAGGUGAUAUUGCCAAGGAAAGAUUGUAAGGACUUGACCAUUGACUGGCGAUUGAGGGGUUAGGGAACAAGAAAAUUAAGGGUUUUUUUUGUUUUUGUUUUUGAGACGGAGUCUCAUUCUGUCACCCAGGCUGGAGUGCAGUGGCGCAAUCUCAGCUCACUGCAAACUCCGCCUCCCGGGUUCACGCCAUUCUCCUGCCGCAGCCUCCCGAGUAUGUGGGACUACAGGCACCAGCGACCAUGCUCGGCUAAUUUUUUUGUAUUUUUUUAGUAGAAACGGUGGGUUUCACCGUGUUAGCCAGGAAGGUCUCGAUCUCCUGACCUCAUGAUCCACCCACCUCAGCCUCCCAAAGUGCUGGGAUUACAGGCGUGAGCCACUGUGCCCGGCCAAAUUAAGGUGUUUAAUAUGACUCCCAUGUGUCACACCUGGGAGGAUGGUAGUCUUCAGAUGAAGAGUCAGGGUAUGGAGAAGUCAUGAGUUCAAGUUUGGAUAUAUAGAGUUCGAAUUACAAGUGGCACAUUGUAAGCUGUGGGGUGGACAUUUGUUGUCUUGCCUGCUGAAUACCCCUUGCCCUUUCAACUGGUAAUGGCACUCUACUUUUUUUCUUUUGAGACAGAGUUUCGCUCUUGUCACCCAGGCUGGAGUGUAGUGGUGUGAUCUCAGCUCACUGCAACCUCUGCCUCCCAGGUUCGAGCUAUUCUCCUGCCUUAGCCUCCCAAGUAGCUGGGAUUACAGGUGCCCACCACCACACCCAGCUAAUUUUUUGUAUUUUUAGUAAAGACGGGGUUUCACCAUGUUGGCCAAGCUGGUCUUGAACUCCUGACCUCAGGUGAUCUGCCCCCCUGCCUCAGCCUCCCGUAGUGCUGAGAUUAUAGGCGUAAGCCACUGCGUCCAGCCUACUUUUUUUUUUUUUCUUUAAAGGUUGUAGAAUUUAUCCUUCUUCAUCUAUGUAUUGGCUAGGCUGGGAGGGUGUGUGGCCAUGAGAAUGUGCUUCUCAGAUCUCUGACUGAGGAAAUUGUAAUUUACCAGCAGUCCAGCUGCUGAGUUCUGAAAUCCAUCCUGAGCUUUGAAAUCCAUUGCCCUUUACUCCGAGGUCUUACUUCCCAUACGCUGCUCAUAGCCAAUAACUGAGCCCAACGGGGAUUUUAGGACAGGACUGUUCCUGGGAUAAGUGAUACUCUUCCGAUGGGUGACUUUGACUCAAGGACUCCUCAAUGGCCUUGCCAAACUUUCCUUAGAACUUCAUUGCAGUCUGAGACACUUCCACCUUGAACACCUUCCCUCUGUCCUUCACUCAGGGUCAGGCCUGCGUCACUGUGCGAUGGCUCUCUCAGUCUUCCCCUUCCAUUUCCUCUCAUAAUAAAUUUUUUUAUUUAUUAUAUAUUAAUAUAUAUUAUAUUAUAUAAUAUAUAUAUAAUAUAAUUAUAUUAUAU